AGGGUUUCUUGGAGAGAUUUGGUGAAUAAUGAUAAUAUUUUGCUUAGAAUAACGUCUAAUCUGCGGUUUUUACAAUCUGGAGUUGUAGAGAAAAGACUAGACUGCCCCUCGAAAUUAAAAGUUUCAGCAGAAUCCCGAUUUUGAGGCUUACCAUUGAGCGCUAUUGGUUCCACCGCUAUAGUCACCGCUGAGUUGUGUAAUCAUGGUGACCUAUUGUUUUAGACAAUACCAACUUUGAGACUUACCACUGAGUGCUAUUGGUUCCACCGCUAUAGGCCCCGUCGAGCGGUGUAAUCACU
rnacentral:lncRNA from 1 species